UACGGGGGGUGCAAGCGUUAAUCGGAAUUACUGGGCGUAAAGGGUGCGUAGGUUGUCAGAUAAGUUAUCUGUAAAAUCCCUGGGCUUAACCUGGGCAGGUCAGAUAAGACUGUAUGACUAGAGUAUGGGAGAGGGUAGUGGAAUUUCCGGUGUAGCAGUGAAAUGCGUAGAGAUCGGAAGGAACACCAGUGGCGAAGGCGGCUACCUGGCCUAAUACUGACACUGAGGCACGAAAGCGUGGGGAGCAAACAGG
rnacentral:rRNA from 1 species